rnacentral:lncRNA from 1 species
UUUUUUUUUUUUUGUUUUUUUGGUUUUUUUCCACUAAAGAAAUGAAGAAAUUGAAUGUCAGAGAGGUUAAGCAACUUGCCAAAAUGCUAAUAAGCCUGGCAGUUCAGGUAAGGGAGGUUUCUUCACUUCCAACCCAAUGUAUCCCUGGACCAUCAGUAGUAACAUGAGGCCUGACCAGCACAUUCCACGUUCCUGCACUGUGCCCCAGGAAUUCCAGGAUCUAUAAAUUCAAGUGCUGACCAAAUUUAGGUGACUAUGAGUUCUGAUGAUCUCACCAGUUGCAAAGUACUGAAAUAUAUCUCGUUCCAUUCAAAUUCUUGCCUUUAUAAUUUAGUUCUUUCUCAGAUUAUGUCACAUGCUACUUACUCACAGAUUUUGAAAUGAGAGUCUAAAAUAAGAUGAAAGGCAGGAAAUUCCAACUUAGAACUGAUUGCUGUCCAGAACCAGGCAUUAAAGUGAAAAGACAAAACCACCUCCUUGAAUAAUGCCUUAUUUUUUACAUUUUCUCCAAUUACUCUCGAGUAAUUUUUAAAAUGUCACAUACAUUUAUGUAUUUAUGUGUUAAAUACAUUAAGGAACAUAGAUUAAAAGGUUAUUUCUAAAAAUCUAAAGAUUUACUUAUCUAGAAUUCUUACAGUAUCCAAUCUGAGUCUUCAAAUUAGCUCCUUUAUGAUUUUUUUCUAUUACAAUUUUUAAACAUUUUUCUCUACCAAAAGAAUAUUCAAAUUGCUCUCUAUGGUUUUAAAAUAAAUGUUUUGGGGAUCCCUGGGUGGCUCAGCGGUGUAGCACCUGCUUUUGACCCAGGGCGUGAUCCUGGAGUCCCGGGAUCGAGUCCCGCAUCGGGCUCCCGGCAUGAAGCCUGCUUCUCCCUCCUCCUGUGUCUCUGCCUCUCUCUCUCUCUCUCUCUCUCUCUCUGUCUAUCAUAAAUAAAUAAAUAAAUCUUUAAAAAAUAAAAAAAUAAAAAAAUGAAAAUAAAAUAAAUGUUUUAUGUUAAUAUAAUCAAAAUAAUCUUUACACUAUAUUUAUAAUAAAACUGAUACCAAAGAUCUUACUAACCAAAAAAAAAAAAAAAAUCUUAUUGACCAACAAAUGUCUAAUCUGAAUAGCUAAAAUCUCCAUAUUCAUAAUCUUACUUCAAUUACUAUUCAGUUACCUAGAAUUUAUUAAAGCAUCACAGAAUGUAUUUUAUAGGUAUUUUACUUGUAUUUCCUCCUCUCAAAAAUGAUUCUAAUUUUGUGCACUGGUUCUCUAAAAUAAUUUACUUCUUAGCAAAUAUUAUCUUGGAACAAACUGAAGUAUUUAGGGAGUAAUGAUAUGACAUUACGGAUCCUCUGUAAAAUAUUCCACUUACCCUCAAAAGGGUGAGGGAGGGGGAUGAUAGAUAAAACAAGAAUGUCUAAAUGUCGAUAAUAGAGGAGUACAUUCAAGUUCAUAAUACUGUUCCAGUUUUAUGUAUAUUUGAAAAUUUCCAUAAGUUUUUUAGGCCUCCCACCAUUAAAGACACAGAGAGAAGUCACUACCUAUGAACCAAGGAAGAGGGUCUUCAUCAAACCAUACUGUCACUGUAAUCUCAGAUUGUCAGCCUCCAGAACUGUGAGAAUUAAAUUUGGGGGUUUUUAAGAUAUAUUUAUUAGAGAGAGAGAAAGCAUGAAUGGGAGGGACAGAGGAAGAGGGAAAGAGAAUCUCCUGCAGAUUCCAUGCUUAGUGCAGAGCCCCAAGUGGGACUCGAUUCCACUACCCUGAGACCAUGAUCCCAACCGAAACCAAUAGUCAGACACUCAACUGACUGCACCACUCAAGCAUCCCAUCCCUGUUGUUUUGCUAAGUUUUUUAAAAUCUCAUAUAUUGGUUCUUACCAGGGGCCAGGCAAAAUUAUAAGCACUUUACCUAUAUAAACUCAUUUAACCCUCCAACAACUCUAUGAGAUAGGUACUCAUUUUACAGAUAAAGAAACUGAGGGGGCAGCCCGGGUGGCACAGUGGUUUAGCGCCGCCUGCAGCCCAGGGCAUGAUCCUGGAGACCUGGGAUGGAGUCCCACGUCUGGCUCCCUGCAUGAAGCCUGCUUCUCCCUCUGCCUGUGUCUCUGCCUCUCUCUCUGUGUGUGUCUCUAUGAAAAAAAUAAAUAAAAUCUUAAAAAAAAAAAAAAAAAACUGAGGCAUGGAAAGUUAGGUAGAUCAUAAAGUAAGCUGAAAUUCAAAUCCAGAUUUUCUGGGUACAUGUGGACAUGGAAAAGCCUGGAAAAUACAUGUUAUGGGUGAUUUUUAUUUUUGCUUGUUUCUAUUUUCUAAGUUUUUCACAAGAACAUGUGUUUUUAUAAUUUUGAAUAGUUACCAAAACAUUUAUUCAGAUGCUAACAUGUUCUUGAGAAGCAAAAGGUAUGACUUUCUGAAACCAAAUUACUGCAAGUAUAGAAAUUCAUCACUAACAAGUGUCAUAUAGUGAUCAACAAACUAGGAAAAUUUUAGAAAUGAUAAAAGAUUACUUUGUUAUUAGCCAUUUUACCAGUGCUUUAUGGAAAGAAUAAUAUUGAAACAAGGUCAUGUAAUUUAACUAGAUAGAUACAAUUAACUUUAGACCACUUAAAACCUUCUUCCGUUUUUAAAGAGAAACAUAACUAUUAUAAUUUUCCAAUUUAGACUCCUGGGAAAUUUUACACCAAAAUAAAAGCUCUCAUUCUUCAAAAGAAUUAUAUUUGAUUACACAUAAAUAGGCUUAGAAGUUAAAUGCCAACAUUUGUCUUGAUUGCUGCUAACAGACCAUUCAACCUCAUUUCUUAUUUUCCAUGAAAACAAAAUUAUUAAGAGUUACAGUUCAGUUAUUUUAACUUGCAUUCUUAGUACUUAUGCUGAAGAGCAAUGAGCAAAGGAAUUUUUUACAGGAAGAUAGUAAAUUUUGCAGCUAUUAACUAAGUCAAUGGUAGCCCAAGAUGGGCAUGGAGACUAUAUUCCAGUCCUGAAUGGAUGAAUACAAUCACAAAAACAAGAUCACACUGCUGGAAUCAUUCGGAAAUAAAACAGUGCAGUGUGAAGCAAUAUCAUGUUUUUUGCAAACCCUAAGACUGUCCAUCAUGAAGAUGAACAAACGUCUUUAAUCCAAUUAUGCUUACAGUCUUGUACACUUCUAUCAUCAUCAUGACAGAGCAACCUGACAUAGAGACCGAAGUACAUGGGGCUCAGGGUCAGUGCAAAGGGAACAAAGAACAAAGCCUAGACAAAUCCUGGCAGCACCAACCAUUAAAAUCUAUGAUAAUCACUUACUACCUCAGAGCCUGUUUCCUUUUUGGUUAAAUAUAGGGACACCUGCCUCACAAGUGGUUAGAGUAACAUUAUGAGUGUGCCUGAAAGCCAAGAGGAUCUUGACAUAGUAGAUACUCUAAAAAUAUGUCCCCUCCCUCCCUUGAUACCAUGUGGGAUGGUCAAGGGAGGUGAAUGAUGGAAGAAAACUUGAGUUUUAGUUAUUUUUUUUAAAUUUUUUUAAUUUAAUUAUUCAUAGAGACACAGAGAGAGAGAGGCAGAGACACAGGCAGAGGGAGAAGCAGGCUCCAUGCAGAAGCCCAACGUGGGACUCGAUCAGGGUCUCCAGGAUCAUGACCCUGGCCGAAGGCAGCGCUAAACCACUGGGCCACCGGGGCUGCCCUUGAGUUUUAGUUGUAAGUAGGUUUUCCCUGAUCAAAGACCAGUGGGAUCUUGUAUGUAAGUCGCCAGCCUCAAAGUCAGAAACUAUAUGAGAUUCCCACUCAAAAUAUAGCUGAAUUUUAACAUACCUGCUGAAAACCUUUCAAUAGCUUCCCACUACACUUUGUAAUAAAAUAAAAACUUCUUAGAAAUAGUGAAAUGGACCAUAAGGGAAAGGAGGAAAACUGAGUGGAGAAAAAUUAGAGGAAGACAAACCAUGAGAGAUUCCUGGCUCUGGAAACAAAUAAAGGGUUGCAGCAGAAGGGGAGGUUGGUGGGGAGAUGAAGUGACUGGAUGACGAGUAUUAAGGAGAACACAUGAUGAGAUUAGCACUGGGUGUUAUACUAUAUGUUGGCAAAUUGAAUUUAAAUAUUUAAAAAAAAAAAAAAAAAAACUUCUUAGCAUGGCCAAAAGGUCCUACAUGAUUUGGUCUUACAACUCACCCUUAGUCAGGAAGCUUUAACCACAAUGAGCCCAAUGUGUUCCAUAAACCCCCCAAGCUCUUUCCAGCUCCAGGUCUGGAACUCUCAGGACCCUCAGCCUCAAGCAUCCUUGCCUUCUUGUUCAAACAGCUGACUCUUUAUGUCCUCCAUGUCUUCCCUUGAGCCUUCCCUAUACCAUUGCAUCAAGUAGCUCCCAACCGACUACCCCCAGUGACCCAUUACUUUCCUUCACAGCUUUAUAACAAUUUCAAAUGAUCAUCAUUUACUUAUUUCUGCUGCCCCUCUCUGCCUCCCA